rnacentral:rRNA from 1 species
GAUGAACGCUGGCGGCGUGCCUAAUACAUGCAAGUCGAGCGAACAGACGAGGAGCUUGCUCCUUUGACGUUAGCGGCGGACGGGUGAGUAACACGUGGGUAACCUACCUAUAAGACUGGGAUAACUUCGGGAAACCGGAGCUAAUACCGGAUAAUAUUUCGAACCGCAUGGUUCGAUAGUGAAAGAUGGCUUUGCUAUCACUUAUAGAUGGACCUGCGCCGUAUUAGCUAGUUGGUAAGGUAACGGCUUACCAAGGCAACGAUACGUAGCCGACCUGAGAGGGUGAUCGGCCACACUGGAACUGAGACACGGUCCAGACUCCUACGGGAGGCAGCAGUAGGGAAUCUUCCGCAAUGGGCGAAAGCCUGACGGAGCAACGCCGCGUGAGUGAUGAAGGUUUUCGGAUCGUAAAACUCUGUUAUUAGGGAAGAACAAACGUGUAAGUAACUGUGCACGUCUUGACGGUACCUAAUCAGAAAGCCACGGCUAACUACGUG